rnacentral:rRNA from 1 species
UUCGGAGACAAAGUGACAGGUGGUGCAUGGUCGUCGUCAGCUCGUGUCGUGAGAUGUUGGGUUAAGUCCCGCAACGAGCGCAACCCUUAUUGUUAGUUGCCAGCAUUCAGAUGGGCACUCUAGCGAGACUGCCGGUGACAAACCGGAGGAAGGCGGGGACGACGUCAGAUCAUCAUGCCCCUUAUGACCUGGGCUACACACGUGCUACAAUGGCGUAUACAACGAGUUGCCAACCCGCGAGGGUGAGCUAAUCUCUUAAAGUACGUCUCAGUUCGGAUUGUAGUCUGCAACUCGACUACAUGAAGUCGGAAUCGCUAGUAAUCGCGGAUCAGCACGCCGCGGUGAAUACGUUCCCGGGUCUUGUACACACCGCCCGUCACACCAUGGGAGUUUGUAAUGCCCAAAGCCGGUGGCCUAACCUUUUAGGAAGGAGCCGUCUAAGGCAGGACAGAUGACUGGGGUGAAGUCGUA